rnacentral:rRNA from 1 species
AUCGAAUACCCACGUUACUUCUCACUUUAAUCUAAAAUUUAUAUACCGCCAUCUUAAGAAUCAAUUUAAAAAUCAUCCUCCAAACAAUUUAUAAAAAGUUAGGUCAAGGUGUAAUCCAUAUUAAAGAAAAAGAUGAAUUACAUUAAAUACUAUUUAAAGAUUAUUUAUUUAUAUAUAAAUAUAAAUAAGGAUUUAAAAGUAAUAUAUAAACAAUAAUUAUACAUGAUAAAGAUAAUAAAUGUGCACACAUCGCCC